rfam:Triticum aestivum genome assembly, contig: Triticum_aestivum_CS42_TGACv1_scaffold_431611_5BS
GGAUGCGGUCAUACCAGCACUAAAGCACCGGAUCCCAUCAGAACUCCGAAGUUAAGCGUGCUUGGGCGAGAGUAGUACUAGGAUGGGUGACCUCCUAGGAAGUCCUCGUGUUGCAUUCC